rnacentral:rRNA from 1 species
UUGACUGCGAGCGUGACGGCGCGAGCAGGUGCGAAAGCAGGUCAUAGUGAUCCGGUGGUUCUGAAUGGAAGGGCCAUCGCUCAACGGAUAAAAGGUACUCCGGGGAUAACAGGCUGAUACCGCCCAAGAGUUCAUAUCGACGGCGGUGUUUGGCACCUCGAUGUCGGCUCAUCACAUCCUGGGGCUGAAGUAGGUCCCAAGGGUAUGGCUGUUCGCCAUUUAAAGUGGUACGCGAGCUGGGUUUAGAACGUCGUGAGACAGUUCGGUCCCUAUCUGCCGUGGGCGCUGGAGAACUGAGGGGGGCUGCUCCUAGUACGAGAGGACCGGAGUGGACGCAUCACUGGUGUUCGGGUUGUCAUGCCAAUGGCACUGCCCGGUAGCUAAAUGCGGAAGAGAUAAGUGCUGAAAGCAUCUAAGCACGAAACUUGCCCCGAGAUGAGUUCUCCCUGACUCCUUGAGAGUCCUGAAGGAACGUUGAAGACGACGACGUUGAUAGGCCGGGUGUGUAAGCGCAGCGAUGCGUUGAGCUAACCGGUACUAAUGAACCGUGAGGCUUAACCUUACAACGCCGAAG